CUUUCCUGUAAAAGUGAUGUUUUCGUGAUGUUCUUUGUACGACCUUUCGUUUGAUAUACGACAAGCAUACCUUCUGAAACUUUUCGCUUUUUACACUUAAUGACCUCAUUCGCCUACAUUUUUGAGAUCGGAAGUAUGAUACAUGUAACAUAGAGUAGAUGAGCUUUCAUUUGAUAUACGACAACGCCAUGUUCUAGAAAGUUUGAUUUUUGCACUUAAUAACCCUAUCUUACAAAUUUUUGGAGGUCAGGAAUUUGAUAUUUCAAAUGUAUACAUCAUGACCUUUCAUUUGAUAUACAACAACCCUAUAGUAAAAAGAAAAUUUAUUUUUUGCACUCAAUGACCCCUUCAAACCAAUUUUUGGGGGACGUCAAUUUGAAAUUUGAAAUGUACGCUUUAUGUUCUUUCAUUUGAUAUGCGACAACCUUACCAUCUGAGAAAUUUGAAUGUUUGCACUAAAUGACCCCACCCUUCCCCCUGGGAUGAAAAGGGGGUUUAAAAUUUUCAUUUUUAAGUAGAGUUUAUUAAGACCUUCAAUUUGAUAUAUCAGAUGACCCCAUUUGACAAAGUGCAAAUAAUGAUGCAAUAUCAACUAUAUAAAUAGACGUUAUGAAACUUACAAAGUCAAUGCAAAACUUGAAAAUUUCAAAUUGAAUUUUUGGCGUUAUUUUCCAUGGAAUGUUUUUGGUAUUUGGGCAAACAUAUAACUAUAUUAACUUUUUCAAUUUCUAAAACAUUUUAAGUGGUUAGCUCUUGUUGAUUCAGAAAUACAUGCCUCCGCUCGCAAAACUUCAAACUGCAUUAUCUCUAAAACGACAAUAGAUAUCUCAAAUCUGUUAAAUGAUAAAUGAUCUACAGUUGAAGGACAACAUUAUAUAAAAAGAAUUGGGACAAUUUCAAAGUUCACCAAGGUCAAAAUUAAUCAUCAAAUAUAUGAUGCAAUACUAAACUUAAGAACCGGAAGUCGUAGAGACAUGGGACUAGCACUAUUCAACUCAGGACCACUUAACCUUUCAACUAUCACAAGGUCAAGGUCAUUGUAUACUGUGAAGGUCAAGGUGAAAUUUCAUCAUGACCUGACAUUGACCUCAAAUUGAAGGUAUUGAAUUACUGAUCAUCUUUGCACUUUAUAGUAGGUUGAUAUCUGUUACAUUUAAAAAGAUAUACACACAAUACUAUACUUUUAAGAAUCAUCCCGUUGUAACUUUUAAACAGACGGUUGGACAUUUGUGGGCUUAUUGUAUAAAAUGUAGAGCUCGUCGAGAAGAACAUUUUAUACGCUGUAUAUAUGCAGCAAAGUCUUAUCGUUUUCCUAAUAUGUAAGCUUGAAAUUGCAGCGUAAUUUUUUUUUUGCACUCAGUGACCUUUGACCUUGGGUGCAUAUUAAAGGUCAUAUGAAUUUAAGAUUAUUGGUGAAGGUUACAAGUCUCUAUGACUUCCUGUUCUCGAAUAUAAAUUUUUGAAAAAAUAUUUUUUUAUUUCUAAAGGGAAAUAACUCCUUAUAAGGGUUAAUAACAAAUUAAUUGUUUAUGUUUAUAAACAUUGCCAUCUGUUCUAAUACAUGCUGUCAUUUUCAAUUAAAUUCUAUCUCUAAUACUUUUUGAAAAAAAUGCAAAUAAAAGAAAUUGCUUCAAGGGGAUAUAACUCUCAAAGUAGAUGAUGAAAUCCUAUGCAGCCUCAUAUGGUAAUACAUCAUGAUGAGAUCUACCUAUUGUCCAAAUAAAGUCAUGAUAUCUUUUAACACAUUUUGGGGGGACCAUGUUGAAAAAAAUCAAUAAAAGGGAGAUAACUUCUUAAGGGGAAAGGAGAAAUCCUAAAAAAGUUCAUCUGGUAAAAGUUCAUGUUGAGCUCUAUCGAUGGUUUAAUUUUGGUAUUGAUAACUCCAAUAAAAGCGGUAGGAGGGCGAGCCAAACAAAUGCUGGAAGAAAAAAAAGAAAAAACUAGUAUCUCAAUUGUUUGUAAAACAAUUGAAAGGUCUUUCCUGUAAAAGUGAUGUUUUCGUAAUGUUCUUUGUAC
rnacentral:lncRNA from 1 species